GAAAUGCGAUAAGUAAUGUGAAUUGCAGAAUUCAGUGACUCAUCGAAUCUUUGAACGCACAUUGCGCCCGCCAGCACUCUGGCGGGCAUGCCUGUUCGAGCGUCAUUUCAACCCUCAGAACCCCUUGCGGGAUCUGGCGUUGGGGAUUGGCAUCCAGCCAGCCCCGAAAUCUAGUGGCGGUCCCUCCGCGACCUCCCCUGUGCAGUAGCGAUACCUCGCAGCGGGACAGCGGUCUGACCACGCCGUAAAACCCCCAACCUCUCAAGGUUGACCUCGAAUCAGGUAGGAAUACCCGCUGAACUUAAGC
rnacentral:misc_RNA from 1 species